rnacentral:rRNA from 1 species
CACCGGCGGCUCGAGCGGUGGCCACUUUUAUUGGGUCUAAAGCGUCCGUAGCCGGCUUGGCAAGUCCCCUGGGAAAUCCGGCGGCUUAACCGUCAGGCGUCCAGAGGAUACUGCCAGGCUUGGGACCGGGAGAGGUGAGAGGUACCUCAGGGGUAGGGGUGAAAUCUUGUGAUCCCUGAGGGACCACCAGUGGCGAAGGCGUCUCACUAGAACGGGUCCGACGGUCAGGGACGAAAGCUGGGGGCACGAACCGG